rnacentral:rRNA from 1 species
UACGAAGGGGGCUAGCGUUGCUCGGAAUCACUGGGCGUAAAGCGCACGUAGGCGGAUCGUUAAGUCAGGGGUGAAAUCCUGGAGCUCAACUCCAGAACUGCCUUUGAUACUGGCGACCUUGAGUUCGGGAGAGGUGAGUGGAACUGCGAGUGUAGAGGUGAAAUUCGUAGAUAUUCGCAAGAACACCAGUGGCGAAGGCGGCUCACUGGCCCGAUACUGACGCUGAGGUGCGAAAGCGUGGGGAGC